CCGUGGGGAUUCGUCCCCAUUGAGAUAGCACCCUUUGUUUAUGAGUACCCUGUUUCCUCGGUGGGCUUUGCCCACCAAAAGGACCCCCUAAAACCUUUGUAAUUGUAGUUUCCUUCAGUAAUAAAAAUUAAUAUCA
rnacentral:misc_RNA from 1 species